GCUUGCCUGGAGGAUAAAGACUUGGGGGAGGAGGAAAUGUACACUGGAGUCGUACAGAUGUUACCAGUCAUACACUCUUCUCUCAUCUUCUCCGAAGCAGAAUCUGGUAACAAAAUACUAUCUUGAAGAUUUUGCAGAUUGCUGUGUGACAAAUUAGAGUACACAUGCUGUUCAUCCUAAGAGACUGAAAUGGAUGUUUGGUAAAAUGUCUUAGAAAGUUCCAUGGUUCUAGAGAUUUUUUUAUUUUGACAUAUGAGAAAAAUCACAGCAUGCAAGUAGUAACAAAAUAAAGGUCCUUAACUGCCAUUAAAUAGAGCCAUGGCUGUUUGAAAAACAGAAUAUGUUCUCAGGGUAUUGUCAUCACACUUGCCACAAUGUGGAUGAGUAAUAACUGGAAACAUCUGAAGACAGCACUACUGAUGGCAGUGGCUACUGGCUUCCUUGGUGUCACAGUGGAAAGUACCAAAUUGCCACCCAUUUCACCAAAAGAAGAAAACCAGUCAUUUUUGGAAAACAGAGUUUCACCUGCCUUUGGUGCAACAAUUAUCAUUAUUGUGACUGUUAUCAUAUUUGGAAGUGCAUAUCUAUGUUUUCUUAAAUACGUCUGCACAGGGUGCUGUAAGUCCACUCAAAUCAUUCCAGUGAGAAGAAACGAUCCAAACAAAUCAGAAGAACAAGUAUAAAGCAUGAUUUUAGAAGACUAAGGAUGAAUGAUAAUAUGGUGGAUAACAUUAAUUCCAAGUUACAGAGUUCAACAUCCCAGCAAACUGAAGAUGUAUCUUCUGCUUCGGAAAUGGGCUCCCACAACUACCACAUCAAACAGCAAGCUUACUUUCUGAUCCUAUCACACAUCUCAAUAAAAAAAAAUAAUAUAUAUUUAUUCAGCAUGGCUUUGAAAACAAGAGCAUACCCUGAAUUUGCUAAAAAAUAUUAAGAAAGCAUGACUUUUUGAAUCCUUAAGGUACAUUUUUUUGACAACUGAACAAUGAUUCUCAAAUAAGAGUUUUUGUUCCUCUUACAUUGAUGACAUUUCUAUAGAAUGGCCAACAUGCCAAAGUAGAGAUUUGUAAUAAAGGAUUUUAUACUCUAUUCAGAAUUUCUGACUAGCAGUGCUUUGGAAGCUCUUUGUGGGAAAAGGAUUGUUGUAAAAUUUAUAAAAGUGAAACAUGCAAUGUGUAGGCCAAAGUUAGAAAGGUUACUGCAGGAUAUACAUGUGGUGCAUACUUCACAGUAACCACUGCCAUUUCAGCGAAAGCCCUACCAUUAUGUGCAACAGGAAGAGGUGAAGCACCGCAGUGGGCUGUCUUUUGGUGCUACUACUAAUGCUAAUGUGGCACUCUGGGGAAUCAACCUAUGCUAAUUAGCCAUUUGAUCUCCUCCAGGAAUGCUUGUGGUUGCAUAAGGUACAUCAGCCACCUUUGUUAAUGAACAUAACCAAAUGCUUGUGCUCAUCCUUUGCAUUAGAUGUAAAUGCCAGGUAGUUUAGUCAACAGGUAGUGUUUUUAUGUGUGUGUGUGUGUGUGUGUGUGUGUGUGUGUGUGUGUGUGUGUGUGUGCGUGCGUGCGUGCGUGCGUGUGUGUGUGUGUGUGUGUGUGUGUGUGUGUGUGUGUGAAGGGGGUUCUCAUAUCUUCACAUUCCACUAGACUAACAAGCAAAUCCUGUGACAUUUGGAGAGGGCAUUAGACACCAGAGAUAACUCUUUACAUCUUGCCUAAAGGGGACUUAAACAUAAAAGAACAAAAUUAUGCGGCCUGAAAGAACUGGGAGAAGAGGAACACCAGAUAGCAGGGAUAACUCUUUAUAGUGUGCCUAAAAGGUGCAUAAAAAAAUGAAAGGAUAAAGUUUUGAAGGAUGAAAGAUGUCAUGUGGGGGGGGGAACUGUAGGCACCAGGAAUAGUCUAUAUGUAUGCCCUAAUGGCACUAAAAAGAUGCAAACCCCAAACCAUCACACCAAGAUUAUUAGUCCUCUGUACCAUCACUAUACAUCAGAGAUACUGUAGAAUACUGUAAAAUAUUGUCUCAAGUCUUUUAUAAAAAUGAAUGUAAAACGAAAGGGGGGGGGGUUCCAACCCUGAACCCUUGACACAGAAUACAGCAGCAUUUCUCCACUGCAUUAAAUGAUCAGUUAGUAGAACAAGUUUUUUAUUACAAAAUAAUAAUAAAUAAUAAGUAUGAAACUGUAAUUUCUGUCAUUAUUCAAAGACUGCAACAGUUUGUGAGUUACAAGGGAUAGGUCACCUAUAAGAAGCAACAACAGGAACAUUCUGUAAAGUCAGAGACAGCUGAGAGGAAUGAGAGCAUGUGGGUAGAGCCUUCAGGACGAAGCUGGGGGGUACAUUAAAUGACAUCAGGGAGAAUUUACUAAAUAUGAAUCUGAGUCACUUAAAAAGUGCAUAGAAGAGGUCUAACUUCAUGAUUGACUUUACGAACACCAAGGAAAAUGAAACUCUAAUGUAUGACAUUACUAAUGACUGUAAAGAUAUGUGAUUUAUGUGGGUAAAGAGUGGGACAAAAGGCAAAAAGGGGCAUUAAGGCUGUGAUGACCCAUCACUGGCCCAGUAAUCAAGGACCCACAAUUCUCACCACUGGCACCAGUGGGGGAAGUACAUUGGGAGGAUGAC